CCGACUAAGAAUGGGGAGGGGAAAUCCCCCCCUAAGUAAUUCCAACACAAAGAGCCCUCAGGACAAAGUAUUCUCCCCUAACUAUAGGGUAACAGCAAACCUCUGUGGGGAAAAUAACACAAAAGGAAAACGUAAGCCAAAGAAAUCUUAAGACAUACAAACUCUCUAAGCAGAGGCAUGCUGAGUUGACCAGUGACUCUCAGAUUCACCCGUCAUCAGAAGAAUGUAUUCGAACCUCCAACCAUGUGGAUGUGGGUGUGGAUGUGGAUGGAAGCGCUGGGGACGAGUGGGAACCAAGUCAAGUGAGUGGACCUUAACGACUGGAUGGAAAGGCGUGAAGAUACUCGGGCCAGUGUGUCAAGGUUAUAAACCGACGCGACAGCUUAGGGGCCAAGAGGUCGUCUCUGGAUUACAAGCAAAGCCACAAGGGGGACAGCUGCCCACAGGAAGGUUUAUGGUUAGGUCUGGAGCCCAGGAAGGGCGAGGGGUCAGAAAACAAAUUACACUAGAAAGUAGCUGAGGGAGGCGCCAAAAGCCUGAGCCUCAACGGCUGGCCACAGGACCUCCACAGAGGGCAGGGUUCCCCUCACCCCCCCCCCCCAAAAAAACCGAUCUUUUGGCGACCAGAGACACUAAGUCCCAACCUUCUCCUGACUCCGCUCCACUCAAAUCACCCCUCACCGAAACAGAAUUGGAGACGUGAAAAAAAAAAAAAUGUGCAGGAGACACCAACCCGGGAAAGGCUCCAGCUCUAGCAGCAGCCGCCCCAAAAGCAGCCGGUCCACACGCAGACGCUCCGACCUCGGCGCCGCAGCCACAGGCACCUGAGCUCCCCCGGCCGCCGUAGUUAGAGGAAAGGCCUCCCCUUCCAACCCAAUAAUCCACACUACGCCGGCUUUGAGGUCCCGCUGGACAAUUGGACUUCAACUCCCAGCGUGCCACGCAACGCAACGCCCUCUCCGGUAGCGCCUGAACUACAAGACCCAGGAUCCACUGCGCCCCUCAGUCUUCGCUCUCCUCCUGACACCCGCAAGACCCGAGAUGUAAUUUCGGAGGAGUCGCUAAAUUCCUUGGGCUAAUGCAGACCGAUAAAAAUACAGAUAUUCCUUGCUAUCCUGUUGUGAAGGUUCUCUAAGCCAAGCUAUAGUUGAAACUGUAGGUAAAUACUUAUAUAAGAUAUUAAGGAAUGUGGGAUGUCUGUCUGG